CUGGGUGAUGUACAAGCACAUUAAAGCUUGAGAAGUACUGUGCUGAACAUACUGACAGUGCUCAAGCGAAAGGGACCACUGAAAUUUCAGGUGCUCACAACCCUUCAGAGGUGUGUGUGUAGAAUAAGUCUCCCUCUCCGGGGAGCAGGAAAGGCUGACUUCUGGACAGCCACAGGUUAGACAACUGAGAGACAGACUAACUGGGCACAAAGCACAAGAGAGGAAGUGACCACGAUGACUAGUGGGGGAAACAGAUGACUGGUGUGACAGCAAGGAAGAUAGGACACUGAUUCAUGGUCUUGCCACUCCAUGCUUCUGAAAGCUCUACUCCACCAGACUGCUUAUAGGAAUUCUGUGUAGAUCCAGCUCAGUAAAUGCUUCUAUGCACUUAAAUCUCUGAUCCUUCAUGAAGAGUCUCUAAGAGAAGGGCACUGUGGGAGAACAUCCCACAGGUCUAUUCCAGAUCUAAUGAAUCUGAAUCGCUGAAGGCAGAGCCCAGGGAUCACUGCUCAGGCCUUGACCCUGCUUCUGGCUUUUCCUCUUUAGUAGCUCUAAGAAGGAGUUUCUAGGGCACUGUGAAUUUAUGUCAUAAUCACCUUACUGUGAUUUAAGAAUCAUUUGCAGAGACUGUUAAGCUGCAGAUUCCUGGCCUCUUCUGCAUGUUCAAGGCCAGAAGAAAGAAGGUGUUGAGUAAAUAUCUAAACCUUUGCAUUUGUCAAGGAAUGAAGAUAAUUCAAAAGGGCUCUGCAAGAUAAAGAGGUCUACAACAGAGAUAACAGACUCAUGGCUACACUUCCUCCUUCUGUACUCCCUACCAUAUCUAGUCAUAAGCUCCUGGAACCAAGCAUCAUGCCUGUUACCAUCUUAAUGCCAUCUCCUGGUACAUCAAUCAAUGGCGAGAUGAAUACAUGAAUAAAUAAGAUACUGAC